rnacentral:rRNA from 2 species
UUAAGCGACUAAGCGUACACGGUGGAUGCCCUGGCAGUCAGAGGCGAUGAAGGACGUGCUAAUCUGCGAUAAGCGUCGGUAAGGUGAUAUGAACCGUUAUAACCGGCGAUUUCCGAAUGGGGAAACCCAGUGUGAUUCGUCACACUAUCAUUAACUGAAUCCAUAGGUUAAUGAGGCGAACCGGGGGAACUGAAACAUCUAAGUACCCCGAGGAAAAGAAAUCAACCGAGAUUCCCCCAGUAGCGGCGAGCGAACGGGGAGGAGCCCAGAGCCUGAAUCAGUGUGUGUGUUAGUGGAAGCGUCUGGAAAGGCGCGCGAUACAGGGUGACAGCCCCGUACACAAAAAUGCACAUGCUGUGAGCUCGAUGAGUAGGGCGGGACACGUGGUAUCCUGUCUGAAUAUGGGGGGACCAUCCUCCAAGGCUAAAUACUCCUGACUGACCGAUAGUGAACCAGUACCGUGAGGGAAAGGCGAAAAGAACCCCGGCGAGGGGAGUGAAAAAGAACCUGAAACCGUGUACGUACAAGCAGUGGGAGCACAGAGCAAUCUGUGUGACUGCGUACCUUUUGUAUAAUGGGUCAGCGACUUAUAUUCUGUAGCAAGGUUAACCGAAUAGGGGAGCCGAAGGGAAACCGAGUCUUAACUGGGCGUUAAGUUGCAGGGUAUAGACCCGAAACCCGGUGAUCUAGCCAUGGGCAGGUUGAAGGUUGGGUAACACUAACUGGAGGACCGAACCGACUAAUGUUGAAAAAUUAGCGGAUGACUUGUGGCUGGGGGUGAAAGGCCAAUCAAACCGGGAGAUAGCUGGUUCUCCCCGAAAGCUAUUUAGGUAGCGCCUCGUGAAUUCAUCUCCGGGGGUAGAGCACUGUUUCGGCAAGGGGGUCAUCCCGACUUACCAACCCGAUGCAAACUGCGAAUACCGGAGAAUGUUAUCACGGGAGACACACGGCGGGUGCUAACGUCCGUCGUGAAGAGGGAAACAACCCAGACCGCCAGCUAAGGUCCCAAAGUCAUGGUUAAGUGGGAAACGAUGUGGGAAGGCCCAGACAGCCAGGAUGUUGGCUUAGAAGCAGCCAUCAUUUAAAGAAAGCGUAAUAGCUCACUGGUCGAGUCGGCCUGCGCGGAAGAUGUAACGGGGCUAAACCAUGCACCGAAGCUGCGGCAGCGACACUGUGUGUUGUUGGGUAGGGGAGCGUUCUGUAAGCCUGUGAAGGUGUGCUGUGAGGCAUGCUGGAGGUAUCAGAAGUGCGAAUGCUGACAUAAGUAACGAUAAAGCGGGUGAAAAGCCCGCUCGCCGGAAGACCAAGGGUUCCUGUCCAACGUUAAUCGGGGCAGGGUGAGUCGACCCCUAAGGCGAGGCCGAAAGGCGUAGUCGAUGGGAAACAGGUUAAUAUUCCUGUACUUGGUGUUACUGCGAAGGGGGGACGGAGAAGGCUAUGUUGGCCGGGCGACGGUUGUCCCGGUUUAAGCGUGUAGGCUGGUUUUCCAGGCAAAUCCGGAAAAUCAAGGCUGAGGCGUGAUGACGAGGCACUACGGUGCUGAAGCAACAAAUGCCCUGCUUCCAGGAAAAGCCUCUAAGCAUCAGGUAACAUCAAAUCGUACCCCAAACCGACACAGGUGGUCAGGUAGAGAAUACCAAGGCGCUUGAGAGAACUCGGGUGAAGGAACUAGGCAAAAUGGUGCCGUAACUUCGGGAGAAGGCACGCUGAUAUGUAGGUGAAGUCCCUCGCGGAUGGAGCUGAAAUCAGUCGAAGAUACCAGCUGGCUGCAACUGUUUAUUAAAAACACAGCACUGUGCAAACACGAAAGUGGACGUAUACGGUGUGACGCCUGCCCGGUGCCGGAAGGUUAAUUGAUGGGGUCAGCGCAAGCGAAGCUCUUGAUCGAAGCCCCGGUAAACGGCGGCCGUAACUAUAACGGUCCUAAGGUAGCGAAAUUCCUUGUCGGGUAAGUUCCGACCUGCACGAAUGGCGUAAUGAUGGCCAGGCUGUCUCCACCCGAGACUCAGUGAAAUUGAACUCGCUGUGAAGAUGCAGUGUACCCGCGGCAAGACGGAAAGACCCCGUGAACCUUUACUAUAGCUUGACACUGAACAUUGAGCCUUGAUGUGUAGGAUAGGUGGGAGGCUUUGAAGUGUGGACGCCAGUCUGCAUGGAGCCGACCUUGAAAUACCACCCUUUAAUGUUUGAUGUUCUAACGUGGACCCGUGAUCCGGGUUGCGGACAGUGUCUGGUGGGUAGUUUGACUGGGGCGGUCUCCUCCUAAAGAGUAACGGAGGAGCACGAAGGUUGGCUAAUCCUGGUCGGACAUCAGGAGGUUAGUGCAAUGGCAUAAGCCAGCUUGACUGCGAGCGUGACGGCGCGAGCAGGUGCGAAAGCAGGUCAUAGUGAUCCGGUGGUUCUGAAUGGAAGGGCCAUCGCUCAACGGAUAAAAGGUACUCCGGGGAUAACAGGCUGAUACCGCCCAAGAGUUCAUAUCGACGGCGGUGUUUGGCACCUCGAUGUCGGCUCAUCACAUCCUGGGGCUGAAGUAGGUCCCAAGGGUAUGGCUGUUCGCCAUUUAAAGUGGUACGCGAGCUGGGUUUAGAACGUCGUGAGACAGUUCGGUCCCUAUCUGCCGUGGGCGCUGGAGAACUGAGGGGGGCUGCUCCUAGUACGAGAGGACCGGAGUGGACGCAUCACUGGUGUUCGGGUUGUCAUGCCAAUGGCACUGCCCGGUAGCUAAAUGCGGAAGAGAUAAGUGCUGAAAGCAUCUAAGCACGAAACUUGCCCCGAGAUGAGUUCUCCCUGACCCUUUAAGGGUCCUGAAGGAACGUUGAAGACGACGACGUUGAUAGGCCGGGUGUGUAAGCGCAGCGAUGCGUUGAGCUAACCGGUACUAAUGAACCGUGAGGCUUAACCU